GCCAGAGGAUGGAGAAAGCUGAAUCUGUUAAGCAAGACUCUGCUGAUACAAUCCCUCUGGAAGACGGGGCCAGAGAGAGCAGUCCUUGGUAGAGAGUCUCACAGGACUGACAACAUUCCACUGAUC
ensembl:snoRNA